rnacentral:rRNA from 2 species
GAGGCAGCAGUAGGAUCUCGCAUGGACGAAGUCUGACGAGCAUCGCCGCUGAGUGACGAUGUCUUCGGGUCGUAAAGCUCUGUUGUAGGGAGACAAGUACCGUUCGAAUAGGGCGGUACGUGACGGUACCUAACCAGAAAGCCACGGCUAACUACGUGCCAGCAGCCGCGGUAAUACGUAGGUGGCUAGCGUUGUCUGGAAUUAUUGGGCGUAAAGCGCGCGCAGGCGGUCUUUUAAGUCUGAUGUGAAAGCCCACGGCUCAACCGUGGAGGGUCAUUGGAAACUGGAGGACUUGAGUGCAGAAGAGGAGAGUGGAAUUCCACGUGUAGCGGUGAAAUGCGUAGAUAUGUGGAGGAACACCAGUGGCGUGGCGGCUCUCUGGUCUGUAACUGACGCUGAGGCGCGACAGCGUGGGGAGCAAACAGGAUUAGAUACCCUGGUAGUCCACGCCGUAAACGAUGAGUGCUAGGUGUUGGGGGGUUCCACCCUCAGUGCUGAAGUUAACACAUUAAGCACUCCGCCUGGGGAGUACGACCGCAAGGUUGAAACUCAAAGGAAUUGACGGGGGCCCGCACAAGCAGUGGAGCAUGUGGUUUAAUUCGAAGCAACGCGAAGAACCUUACCAGGUCUUGACAUCCUCUGACAAUCCUGGAGACAGGACGUUCCCCUUCGGGGGACAGAGUGACAGGUGGUGCAUGGUUGUCGUCAGCUCGUGUCGUGAGAUGUUGGGUUAAGUCCCGCAACGAGCGCAACCCUUGAUCUUAGUUGCCAGCAUUCAGUUGGGCACUCUAAGGUGACUGCCGGUGACAAACCGGAGGAAGGUGGGGAUGACGUCAAAUCAUCAUGCCCCUUAUGACCUGGGCUACACACGUGCUACAAUGGACGGUACAAAGGGCAGCAACACCGCGAGGUGAAGCGAAUCCCAUAAAGCCGUUCUCAGUUCGGAUUGCAGGCUGCAACUCGCCUGCAUGAAGCCGGAAUUGCUAGUAAUCGCGGAUCAGCAUGCCGCGGUGAAUACGUUCCCGGGCCUUGUACACACCGCCCGUCACACCACGAGAGUUUGUAACACCCGAAGUCGGUGGGGUAACCUUUAUGGAGCCAGCCGCUAGUAA